rnacentral:lncRNA from 1 species
GUCCUCAAAAAUAAGAGUCUUAAAUAGUGACCUCAUCUUAGUUCAUAUAAUGUAAUCGCAGAUCAAAUAACCAUGAUUCAUAAACCAACACAAAGGGACCCUUUGCUUCCCGACAGCCUCUGAGAAUGAGUGAACACGACUGAAAGCCUCAUUACGGAGCCUUUCUCCAUUUUUACCUUUCUGAGUCCCGGAUAUUAAUAUCCUUGGAAACAGUUUCUGACGGGGCCUUUGCUUCUCCUUUGCCUGAAAAUAGCCACACUUUCCCUCAAACACACACAUAAUGCUGCCUUCCUUACGGAGAGUUCUCCGAAAUAAACAGCAGGUACUUUCAGCCACGCGAUGAUCACGUGGAAAUGAAUUUUCUUCCCAUCUUCUUGCCCAGUGAACGAGUAGUGACCAGCACCUGCCGUGUGCCUGGACCUGAGCCUCGGGGAUCGCGUGGAGUGCAAGUCGGACACAUACAAGAAACUAACAUCUGUGCUCAAUGAACACCUUUCGUUUCCUUUCUUCCAGGGGUUUGGAAAUCUGCCCAUCUGCAUGGCAAAGACUCACCUUUCUCUGUCUCACCAACCUGACAAGAAAGGCGUACCCAGAGAUUUCAUUUUGCCCAUCAGUGAUGUCCGGGCCAGCAUAGGCGCUGGGUUCAUCUACCCUCUGGUCGGAACGGUGAGUAACAUUCUCCGGAAACCUUCCCCAGGCUGUGUUGUCUUGAUGCCUUAAAUCCUUCUGUUCUGCCAACGCUUUGCAAAUCGGGUGUUGGGAAUUAAUAGUAUUUGCUGUUUUUCUAGACAUUCUCUUCCACCAUAUAAAACACCUCUUCCGUCGUGGUUUGGGUUUUUCUUUCUUUUGUUUUUUAAAUCGUGUGUUCAGGAUCCCUUGAGUCAUAAAACUGAUUCCCUUCAUAGAACAUGGAAGGGAAUAACUUGGUGGAAUUCAGUCUGAUAUUUAAAUGGUAGAAUGGCUUAGUAUGGUGCCUCUGGACCUUUUUCACAUUAUCGUACUCAAAUGAUAAGAUUUUAUUCUAGUCAGAUAAUGGAGGAGACUGCUCAUGCCAGACAGGACCCGCCCAGCACCUCUAAAGGCUGGCAAAAAUCCAGUGUUUCAAUCCAACACAUGGCUCUGUUGUUAUUAUGUAAACAAGCAAUGAAUGGGCCAAAAGUGGAUUAAAAAGCACAGAAUUUUUCCCUUGACAUUCACAUGUUUCAUCUAAUAUUGGGCAAGAUGUUUUCAAUAAGCAUUUCUUGCAUUCUCAUUGCGUGUGAGGCAUGGCGAUACUCUGAGGAGCACAGGUUUGCAUAGCGCAGAGGCAUCUAGAAAGGGUGGCGUUGGCAUGCUGAAUGCCCUCAGCACAGGGGCGGCGACAGCCGCUUUGGCCCGAGGUGGAUGAGGGAACACGGUAUGUGGAAGAAGAGAGUCGAGAAUUCUUCGUAAGAGCUCUGAACUGGGGAAACAGUGAAUUUCAACUCACGGGCACAGAAAUACAUGACAGACCCAGCGUGGUCCAGCGUGGCUGGGGUUGGACAGGCCGGGGAGUCUGAGAAAUGGCUCAGGGAGAGCAAGACCGGGCCAAGCUGUUACGGAGCUCGACUGCCGUCGGUGGGAACUUGGGCUUUUCUCCUCGGCGCCCUGGGGAGUCACUACAGGGCGGUUUCUGAGUUUGUUUGUUCGUUUUAUUUUUGUAAGAGGAAAAAUGUGAUCUGAUUUUUAUUUUAGAAAAAUAGCCCCGGCAGCAGAAGGAGCAUGGUUAGAGGGCUGAGAGCCAGGGGUAAAUGGCACUGCAAUCGUUCAAACUAAUAUGGAGAGAAGAGGAGAAUGCAAGACGGAUUUUAAGGGUGGCCACCUACCUGUGGGGCCGGGGGAGGGGCACUUGCCGCCUGACUGUGGAUGGCGGUGCCGUGGUCACAGAAGGCACACGGGGAAGGCAGAUUGGCCGGGCCUAGAUGAGUGUGGCGUAGAUGUGAAGUGCGGGCGUUAACGGGACACGUAAAGUGGCCUGUGGAUCUGUUAGAAAUGCAGACAUAACACUCGGAGGAGCAGGAAGCAAGGCCUUGAGAGUUGUAAGAAUGUAGAUGAAGGCAGAGCUUGAACAAGGGGAGAAGCACGGAUAAGCACGAGAGACCUGAGAAGAAGGUAAAGGACGACACUCCAAGCACGUAUAGGGACACCUGGGUGGCUCAGUCGGUUGAGGAUCUGACUCUUGAUUUCGGUUGAGGUCGUGAUCUCGCGGUCGCGGGAUGGAACCCCGCUUGGGAUUCUCUCUCUCCCCCUCUGUCUGCUCCUCUCUCUCUCAAGAAUAAAUAAGUAAACAUAAAAAUUUUUUUUAAACGCCCACAUUUACAGAGCCGCCCCAGGAGUCUGGGGGGAGACCAGAGCAUCCCUAGAAGUCAGGGCGGUGGCGGGCUGGGGGAGGGGUAGCAAUGGCAUUGGUAUAGGGAGAAGGGUUCACAUCCUAUGGCUACUGGAUGACAUCUCCCGAGGGGAGGUGGGGCGGAGAAGGGGAGUGACUACAACAGGGGAGCCUUCCGGGGCGAUGGAAAUACUCUAUAUUUUGACUACUCUGAUUGUGGUGGUGGUUCCAUGACUAUAUUGGUUUGUCAGAACUCAUAGACCUAUAUACCACCUGAAAAGGAUGAAUUUUAUCGAGUAUAACUUACUUAUGCCUCAAUGGAGAUAUACGUAAGGAACAAAAAUGGAGAGUGAGAAGAGUUUGCUUUAUGCCCCUUAGAGUGGCCUCGUGACAGCAGCUCCUCAAGUGCUCAAAGUCUGCUGAACUUGGGUCAGUGAAGGCCUUUGCUCAGGAACAAGAGCACAGCCCGAGAGAGGAGGGGUGUGCCCGUGGGCCUCACCGAGGAGAAAGCCAUCCUCCCUCAGAAUCGGCCCUGUUUUGCCCUGUACAGAUUCAAAACCCCGCAGUAACUGGCCCAGCAGAUUCAUUCAUUCAUUCAUUCAUUCAUUCAACCAGUAUACAGAAGGCAUGGUGCUCAGUGCUCUGGGAAUCCCAAAAUAAAGCAGCUUUCCAUUUCAGACAGCUUACAGCUGGUAGGAAUAGACAGAAGUGAAUGACAAAGAAAAUGGUUUGGUAUAAAAAUUAGGAAUCAAUCAAGGGCACCUGGGUGGCUCAGUCCGUUAAGAGCGUCCGACUUCAGCUCAGGUCAUGAUCUCACUGUUCCCGAGUUCGAGCCCCGCGUAGGGCUUUGGGCUGACAGCUCAGAGCCUGGAGCCUGUUUCAGAUUCUGUAUCUCCCUGACUCUCUGUCCCUCUCCUACUCCCGCUCUGUCUCUCUCUGUCAAAAAUAAAUAAACAUUAAAAAAAAUUUUUUUUAAAUUACUUAAUAACCUUAAUAGGUCUGAGCAUUUAACAGUCAUCAGAAGUCAUAAUUUAAAAUCUUGUGAAGGGGCGCCUGGGUGGCGCAGUCGGUUAAGCGUCCGACUUCAGCCAGGUCACGAUCUCGCGGUCCGUGAGUUCGAGCCCCGCGUCAGGCUCUGGGCUGAUGGCUCGGAGCCUGGAGCCUGUUUCCGAUUCUGUGUCUCCCUCUCUCUCUGCCCCUCCCCCGUUCAUGCUCUGUCUCUCUCUGUCCCAAAAAUAAAUUAAAAAAAAGUUGAAAAAAUAAAAUCUUGUGGACAGUAAACAAAUACACGCUGUGGAUCUUCUCCCAUCCCAGCUAAUACCACCAGACCCACAUGUGAGACCAGUUCUGGGAAAUCAGAAUUCUGGAGCCGCCACUCAUGCGGGAACACUGACGAAUGACUAGUAGGAAAAUGAAUGUGAGGAAUGGCGUUUGGGGGGCGGCCGCAGGCCCGCAGUGUCCUGAAGAGAGCCCCGGGCUGCCCUGUGGUGCCCCCAACCGCAGGGCCAGGCCAGGAACCGUCAGUGAAACAGUCAAGUGUGAGGACGCAGGAAGGAAGCAGCGCCUGACUAAAGAAGUUCCUGGAGGUCAGGAAACGGUCACGUGUAGUUGGUGGCCUUAGCGUCCGCUUUCUAUGACAGCGGGAAGUUGCGCGUGUAUCAGGGCAAGCGCACCGUUGGAGGCCAGGAUCGCCUAAUAAGGGCUGGUAUUUACUUUUACUUGACCCCAUUCUGGGCCCUGCUACGGUCUUUUGAAAUGCUUCGAACAUUCAUCACCCGUGUGGGAGACACAGUGUAGUAAUUUCCUGCUGAGAUGACUGAGGGAAAGGGAAUGGGGACACCGGAGGGGCUGGUUCCUGCAGGUGGGAAAAUCCUAGCAUCCUGAGUCACUCUUACUCUUAAUCACGAAACAUGUGCUUAUUUGAGUUCUUCUUUUUUUUUUUUUUUAAUUAUUUUCAAUGUUGAUCUUUGAGAGAGGGACAGAGCACGAGUGGGGGAGGGACAGAGAGAGACAGAUAUACAGAAUCUGAAGCAGGCUCCAGGCUCCGGGCUGUCAGCACAGAGCCCAGUGUGGGGCUUGAACUCACAAACCAUGGGAUCAUGACCUGAGCCAAAGUGAGAUGCUUAACCGACUUGAGCCACCCAGGUGCCCCCUGAGUACUUUUGAAAUACAUAUCCAUCUAUCCACUCCAGAAAGAAAGGCCAAACUGAGACCUCAACAUCAGAAAGCUUCUCAGUUUUUUUGCAGUGUUCAUUCAUUCAUUCAUUCAUAAAACCACGUGGAGGCGAAUAAGAUCAAGUCCUUCCCUAAUGGGCCUUCUGCUAUACCGUAGUAAAAGAAAUCAUACAAGUACAGGAAGCUGUAGGCUUUAUGACAAAGGAGAAACAGCCCCCAGCUAUGUAGUAGGUUCCAAAGUGGCGAAUGUGAGUAUAGACAAGUCUGUCCUCAAACAAUAAACGUCUCCAGCCCUGAUGACCUUGAGAUCACGCGGUGACAUGUCUGGGGAAUUCAGUGUUCCCCCCUCCAGAUUUAGCUUUGUGGAUAUUGACUGUUUAACCCCCUGUCUUUACUUAUAGGCCAGAGGUUUUUUUUUUUACCACUUAAUUACUUCAUUUCAUCAUGUUCUAUUUAGUUAUGACACAAUACAAUAAUAAUUAGAAAUAUCAGUAACUGCUGUAGCCGCUUCGCUAGUGGCUUUCACUUCCCCGUCUGUUUGUAUAGAAGCACCCGAGGCAAGGAUUACUAGUUUAGGGACAUUCGGCUCAGCUACCACUCUUCCCUGCACUCUCGGUGUUUCUCAUCUUGCUGUAGCUACUUUUUCCUUCGCAAAAUCUCAGUCUCCUUUCCCACUAAACACCAUAUAUAUUCUUGCUUCUCCUUAAUGACAUAGUUAUAUGUUAUUUCAGACGUAUUCUUGAAAGCUACAAACGGUACGAGAUUCCUGACCAGAUUAUCACUACUUAGUGCAUCUCCUUCUAAGACAUUGUUUAGCAAAUACAGGUUCUUGAUGUGGGAAGAAAAGAGCAAAUUGUUUUCAAGAUUUUCCUACCCUGGAUUCCAUGGAUUACCCUGUUACAUUAUAUUUCCGAAAUUCUUUCAAAGCUUACGGUUUAUCGUGUUCAAUCAACCUAAUAGCUUAUUAAAUUUCUCCAAAACAAUCUUGUGCCAAAAGAAAUUCAGCAGGUGGUCUUUCUCUUCUGGUCACGUUGUUUUGAUAUUGCCUUUAGGUUUCCACAGUUGACAGGGGCUCUUUAAUCAUUUGGCAUAAAUUGCAUGACAUAAAAUUAUUAGCACGUAAGCAAAGUAUAUGCCAUGAUAUUACUGAGAAGUAAAUUAUACUCCACUUGGAAAAAAAACUAGGAAGACACCAAAAUGUUAACAUUGGGCUGCAGUAGUAGAAGCAGCUUUUUUUUCUGUACUUUUCUGCUUAUUUCAGUAUCUGCAUUGAGCAUGUGUCCCUUCUAUACCAUGAAAAUGCAAUGAAUAGGCAAGUGAUAAACUAAAAGUCCUUGGGAAAAAAUGUUUAACUAGGGCCGUUCAGUUGCCGGGGAGUCAGUAGUACUCUGUGCUUAGCAGGUGGCACCUGCCGGGUCGCGUCGUCUGCCCAUCCCAGCUGCCUCGCAGUGUUUUAACACCUGUAAAGGUGAGACCCUGAAGGCGGGACAGAAGGGCUAGGGUGUCGUCGUAAGAAAUGCACUCCUGAGUGUGGUGCGUCUGGUUCUGUCCAACGUUUGCCAGCCCCAGAUUCUGCUAAGGAAAUGCGAGAUCGAGUUGUCAAACAGUCGGCGUGGAGAAAUGUCCGGCUCUGUGAAUUCCACCCCAAGUCCGUUCAGUGUAUCCCACUCUUCUCCUUUGAUAUCGCACUGAGACUCCCAAAGAACGUAGAAGUCCUCCUGUGCUGAGGUCCCCCUGACAGGGAAGUCUUCUCUAUCGACCAACAUGGGACAUAAAAUUACGACAAGAUGACUCUUCGGGGCAAGAACGUGGGCUAGAAUUUUGGAGAUAAGCAGACUCACGGUUCACGCAGAAGGGAUUAAGACGUCAUAGGGCGUUGAUAUGCUGGUCACUGCCAGGGAGGGCGUUUCGGGAGGCAGAGUGGAUGCUUGGAACUGUACAGAAAAAAAGCUAAGUGCUUUCACCCCACAAACUGAUGAGAUAGGGGGGCUAGGAAAGGCAGCAAGUCAAAGCUCCCCUGUCCCUUCCUCCUCCCUUCACUUUGGUCCCUGGGCUCUUUCCAGAGCAGAGUAUUGAUCAUGGGCACUGUCUACGUGUUCGUGCGUUUUUUGCUCCUGUCGCGACUGGCCUGGCCUGGACCCAUCACAGUGUGCAAGUCUGUCCAAGAAAGAGGGACCAAAAGAUCAGCGCUAAAGCACGCAGUUUACUGAGCGAGCACAUGAACGUGCACUGGUGUGGCUUUCAUUUCCACUCUGACCUGACCCGACCCGGCCACAUCUGUGCCCAGGUGCGCCGCUGACCACAUCGCUUGGCUGGGCUGUGGAAAGCAGGAAACUGCCGCCGUGUAUUUGGGAAGUGAGUGAUGUCAUCCACAACUCAUGCUGGGUGGAGACUUACUGGCCUGGGGGGUGCAGGGGGUGGGAAAGUAGACUGUGGCCCCACCCAG